UGAACAUGUAAUCAACUAAUGUAGUAAACUUUCUCGCAGGUUUGCACACGAACGACAGUUUUAAUUAGUAUUAAUACCAGAGAAAUCCGAAAGAUUUCGCAAAAUAUUCAGUGACAAUCCAACAGAUCGCGGUGAAAUUUAAAAGUGAAAAAGUGUUGUGAAAAUGUCUGAAGUCUGCAAAAUGGAAAACAUCCCAUCAUCUAACCAGUGCGAAUGCAAAGAGGGAUCUCCUUGCCAGUGUAGAUGUACAUGCAGCUGUAAAAGAAGUGAAAACUGUAGCAAUUGUGAAUGCAGAUGCAAUUGCAAUUGUUGCAAUGAAGGAAAAAGCUGCAACUGCAAGUCUGCUACAGAUCCACCAAAUAAACUUCAGGGAAAACAUCAGGAAACACUGUACUGUUGCAAAUGCUCCUGUUAAGAACACAUUGUGUACUGACCGAAUAAAUACAAUAUAAAAAAAAUAUACGUACAUUAUCUUCAACUCCUUCAAAUGAAAAAUUAAAUAUCUGAACUGGUGUACAUCCAUAUGACGUAUAAAACUAUAUUAAAGAAAUAAAGUUUUUUUUUCAAAUUAAA